GGAGCUGUGUUUUUGUUUACUGACCCCCACCAUAUGCUCGGCACUGGGGGAGGAGAGCACGAGGCGGCUAAAAGAUGGGGAAACUGAGGCUCGGAGAGGUGAACUUGCCCUAGGUUACCCAGCGUGUGAACGUGAACGUAGGCAGCCUGGCUCCAGAGGAACGAAGGAAAAGAAAGACAAGUUCCUCUACCAGGCGCUAACUGGGACUGACAAGAAGAAUUAUAGAAAUCAAUGCUGCUGCCACUGCUUCCUGUCCCAGCUCCGCCACUACCUGGCUGCGAGGCCCUGGAACGUGUCUCUUCCUUCCAUGAGCCUCUGUCUGAGGCCCCUUGUAGCUCAGGCUUCUGGUCUACCUUCUCUCAGG